ACAUGCCUACAACAUAGCAUUAAUACACCGGAUCCCAUUAGAAAUAUGCAGUUAAGUGCGCUUAGACUAGAGUAGUACUGGGAUGGGUAACUGCUCGAGAAGUCCUAGUGUUUUACAUGCC
rnacentral:rRNA from 1 species